rnacentral:rRNA from 1 species
UACAGAGGGGGCAAGCGUUGUUCGGAAUUACUGGGCGUAAAGGGUGCGUAGGCGGGUUUUUAAGUCAGGGGUGAAAUCCUGGAGCUCAACUCCAGAACUGCCUUUGAUACUGAAGAUCUUGAGUUCGGGAGAGGUGAGUGGAACUGCGAGUGUAGAGGUGAAAUUCGUAGAUAUUCGCAAGAACACCAGUGGCGAAGGCGGCUCACUGGCCCGAUACUGACGCUGAGGCGCGAAAGCGUGGGGAGCAAACAGG